rnacentral:lncRNA from 1 species
UUUUUUCAAGCUUAUGGUAAAAUAACAUUUGCAUGUUGAUGGAGUGAAUACCCUGUCAAAAUUGAGUGAAUUAGUGAGUGAGAGAUAAGGUUGAACUUUGAACAUCGUGUGGAAUGGUCAUUGAACCGAAGCUGAUUGAAGUCUUGAAAACCAAAGCAUUGAUUGAGCAUGAUCACUGAAGUUAAGACCGGUGCUUCUAUUGCCGGAUGAAGAGAAAAAGUUUUUGAGAUUUUUAUCAUUCAAAUUAGUUUGUUAAUUCACUGACAGUUUUGUUUCGACAUGCAUAUUACUUGAGGACAAGCAACAAUUCAAGUUUGGGGUUGUGAUGACAUUCCAUCAUUUGAGUAUUUUUAAUUAUUAUUUUAUAGUAUUUUAGUUAGUUUUUAAGAGUAUUGCAUGGUCAAAGAGAAGAGUUUAUGAAGAAAAUAACACAUAAGAGUUUGAAGACAAAAGACCAAAGGAGAAAAAGACUUAGAAAAAAUCUCAAUAUUUUGAAGCUAAAAGAAGCUUCAUUCUCUGUUUUUCUCGCGUCCCCAGCUGAUCCAAUAGUGGUGCGAUUUUCCACCUUGCAGAGCAUGACAUCAGCGCACGUUCAGCAUGACAUCAUCAACUUUAUUCUAUCAUUUAAUGACGUGUCAAAAGGUAAUGGGAUGAGGACUUGCUUCUAGUGGCACGGAUUGUAAUUCUUAAGGAUCAACAGCUUUGUUCCCUCAUAUAAAUAAGAACCUUUCAUUAACCUAGGGAUACACACGCACGCCGAAGAAAAAAAGCAGUCACGCAGCAGACGAGGCUUCACCUUUGAAUAGCAGUUUCUUUGUGUUGGC